GUGAGGAAUAUUGGUCAAUGGGCGGGAGCCUGAACCAGCCAAGUCGCGUGAAGGAAGAAGGAUCUAUGGUUCGUAAACUUCUUUUGCAGGGGAAUAAAGUGCGGGACGUGUCCUGUUUUGUAUGUACCCUGAGAAUAAGGAUCGGCUAACUCCGUGCCAGCAGCCGCGGUAAUACGGAGGAUCCGAGCGUUAUCCGGAUUUAUUGGGUUUAAAGGGUGCGUAGGUGGUUUGAUAAGUCAGCGGUGAAAGUUUGCAGCUUAACUGUAAAAAUGCCGUUGAAACUGUCGGACUUGAGUGUAAAUGAGGUAGGCGGAAUGCGUGGUGUAGCGGUGAAAUGCAUAGAUAUCACGCAGAACUCCGAUUGCGAAGGCAGCUUACUAAGCUACAACUGACACUGAAGCACGAAAGCGUGGGGAGCAAACAGGAUUAGAAACCCCGGUAGUCC
rnacentral:rRNA from 1 species